UCNGAAACGACCUGGCCAAUGUCACCGC
rnacentral:piRNA from 1 species